rnacentral:misc_RNA from 1 species
UAACCACUCAAGCCUCGGCUUGGUCUUGGGGUCCCGCGGUCUCGCGGCCCUUAAAAUCAGUGGCGGUGCCGUCUGGCUCUAAGCGUAGUAAUUCUCUCGCUAUAGGGUCCAGGUGGUGGCUUGCCAAAACCCCUAAUUUUUUAAC